UUCCUCAGUUCCAGGACAAGUGUUGAGGGAAGGACUGUUUCUAGCUGUAAUAAUAAACACGAUAACAGGAAAUAACUUGUUUUUCUGGCCCUAACACAAGAUUAAACAUAACUAUAAAUAAAUAAAAAAAGAAAAGAAAGAUUAUAAAUGGUGAUGAAUAAAAGACUUCAUGUUGUGAUGAUAACAGAAACUCUGCUUUGAUUCAUUGUUGAUUAUUUUUCUGUAACAAAACCUCCCCAAGUGUUUUAUUCCUUACUUUCUGUCACUGAGCUUUACUCCUUCUCAAUACAGGAGCAGGAGAAAGCCGUCUGUGUGAAAUAAACCAUCACCACGUAACCAUUCCUACAUUUAGGUUUCCUAAUGUGUUCCUUAGAUGAGUGAGGUGUCUUCUAAAAAUGGUUCGAUUUGGUUCCCUUUCUGAUAGAGAAACAUUCUGUUGUAGAGAUUUACAUAGUACCUUAUCAUCCACUCAUCUAUCCAGUGAGCAGCGUGUGGUUGUGGGUUGAACACCUCCAUAGUGGUCAUGGACGCUCCCUAUUCAAAUAGAGUGGUGUAUAAACAGCAUGUUCUUGGCUGCUCUAGUUUCCAGUGAGCUCUGUGAGAGAUAACACUCCCAUACACUUUAAAUCUGGGUGAAGCAGAACUCAGAGAAGGAUGAUUUUAGGACAGUGUAUUUUAUUGCUACUCAUUUCAUAUUCUUAUGGACAGUCCCUGACUUCCUCUGAGUCUGUGGUGAAGAGACCUGGAGAGUCGGUCACUCUGUCCUGUACUGUCUCCGGAUUCUCAAUGGGCAGCUACUACAUGCACUGGAUCCGUCAGAAACCAGGACAAGGACUGGAGUGGAUUGGGCGCAUUGACACUGGCACUGGCACUGUAUUCGCUCAGUCUCUACAGGGCCAGUUCUCCAUCAAUAAAGACACCAAUAAAAACUUGCUGUACCUAGAAGUGAAGAGUCUGAAAGCUGAAGACACGGCAGUUUAUUACUGUGCACGAGAGACACAUUGACACAACAGACUCCAGAGCUGUACAAAAACUUAC